rnacentral:rRNA from 1 species
UACGUAGGGUGCGAGCGUUAAUCGGAAUUAUUGGGCGUAAAGGGUGCGUAGGCGGAUAUAUAAGUUAGAUGUGAAAAGCCAGGGCUUAACCUUGGUCGUGCAUUUAAGACUGUAUGUCUAGAGUUUGUAAGAGGGGGGUAGAAUUCCAAGUGUAGCAGUGAAAUGCGUAGAGAUUUGGAGGAAUACCGAUGGCGAAGGCAGCCCCCUGGUAUAGAACUGACGCUGAGGCACGAAAGCGUGGGUAGCAAACAGGAUUAGAUACCCUGGUAGUCCACGCCCUAAACGAUGUUUACUUGCUGUUGGGAGCAAUCUUAGUAGCGAAGCUAACGCGAGAAGUAAACCGCCUGGGGAGUACGGUCGCAAGAUUA